GGGCGUGUGGCCAAGUGGGCAAGCUCGUGUCAUAGCUCCAUGAGGGAUUUUCUCCCCUAUGGCGUGGGUUCGAACCCCAUCACGCUCA